rnacentral:rRNA from 1 species
GUGGGGAAUCUUCCGCAAUGGACGAAAGUCUGACGGAGCAACGCCGCGUGAGUGAAGAAGGUUUUCGAAUCGUAAAGCUCUGUUGUCAGGGACGAGCAGGGGGAGUAUCAACAACACUCUCUCAUGACGGUACCUGACGAGGAAGCCACGGCUAACUACGUGCCAGCAGCCGCGGUAAUACGUAGGUGGCGAGCGUUGUCCGGAAUUAUUGGGCGUAAAGGGAGCGCAGGUGGGAAAGUAAGUCUGCUUUAAAAGUGCGGGGCUCAACCCCGUGGGGGAGUGGAAACUAUUUUUCUUGAGUGCAGGAGAGGAAAGCGGAAUUCCUAGUGUAGCGGUGAAAUGCGUAGAUAUUAGGAGGAACACCAGUGGCGAAGGCGACUUUCUGGACGAUGUCUGACGCUGAGGCGCGAAAGCUAGGGGAGCGAACGGGAUUAGAAACCCCAGUAGUCC